rnacentral:rRNA from 1 species
GGUGGACGUGUACAGUGAUGAAAGUACCAUACCAAUAAGGACCGGCUAACUCCGUGCCAGCAGCCGCGGUAAUACGGAGGGUGCGAGCGUUAUCCGGAUUUAUUGGGUUUAAAGGGUGCGUAGGCGGUUUGAUAAGUCAGCGGUGAAAUAUUUCAGCUUAACUGGAAAGGUGCCGUUGAUACUGUCGAGCUUGAAUUUAGUUGCUGUGGGUGGAAUGUGUGGUGUAGCGGUGAAAUGCAUAGAUAUCACACAGAAAAUCGAUUGCGAAGGCAGCUCACAAAGCUAAUACUGACGCUGAUGCACGAAAGUGUGGGGAUCAAACAGGAUUAGAUACCCUGGUAGUCCACACUGUAAACGAUGAUAACUCGCUGUCUGCGAUACACAGUCGGUGGCCAAGCGAAAGCGAUAAG